UAGGGUUCGAUUCUGGCUCAGGAUGAACGCUGGCGGCGUGCUUAACACAUGCAAGUCGAACGAACCUUCGGGUUAGUGGCGGACGGGUGAGUAACGCGUGAGAAUCUGCCCUCAGGAGGGGGAUAACAGCUGGAAACGGCUGCUAAUACCCCAUAUGCCGCGAGGUGAAAUGAAUUUCGCCUGAGGAUGAGCUCGCGUCUGAUUAGCUAGUUGGUGUAGGUAAUGGCUCACCAAGGCAUCGAUCAGUAGCUGGUCUGAGAGGAUGAUCAGCCACACUGGGACUGAGACACGGCCCAGACUCCUACGGGAGGCAGCAGUGGGGAAUUUUCCGCAAUGGGCGAAAGCCUGACGGAGCAACGCCGCGUGAGGGAUGAAGGCCUCUGGGCUGUAAACCUCUUUUAUCAAGGAAGAAGAUCUGACGGUACUUGAUGAAUAAGCCACGGCUAAUUCCGUGCCAGCCGCCGCGGUAAUACA
rnacentral:rRNA from 1 species